rnacentral:tRNA from 1 species
GGCGAAUAUAACUUAGUAGGUCAAAGUGUCAGACUGUGAAUCUGAAAACACGGGUUCAAAUCCCGUUAUUCGCC